rnacentral:rRNA from 1 species
GCGGGAUAAGUAGCAAUACUUUGAGAGCGGCGCACGGGUGCGUAACGCGUAUGCAACCUGCCUUAUACAGGGGGAUAGCCCAUGGAAACGUGGAUUAAUAUCCCAUAGGAUUACGGUCUCGCAUGGGACAGUGAUUAAAACUACGGUGGUAUAAGAUGGGCAUGCGUCUGAUUAGGUAGUUGGUAGGGUAACGGCCUACCAAGCCGACGAUCAGUAGGGGUUCUGAGAGGAUUACCCCCCACACUGGUACUGAGACACGGACCAGACUCCUACGGGAGGCAGCAGUGAGGAAUAUUGGUCAAUGGGCGAUAGCCUGAACCAGCCAUCCCGCGUGCAGGAUGACGGCCCUAUGGGUUGUAAACUGCUUUUCUGCCCCAAGAAACCUGAUUACGAGUAGUCAGUUGACGGUAGGGUAGGAAUAAGCAUCGGCUAACUCCGUGCCAGCAGCCGCGGUAAUACGGAGGAUGCAAGCGUUAUCCGGAUUCAUUGGGUUUAAAGGGUGCGCAGGUUGGAAUGUGUCAUACGAGACUGCCGGUAUAAAGCCGGAGGAAGGUGUGGAUGACGUCAAGUCAGCAUGGCCUUUAUGUCCGGGGCCACACACACGCUACAAUGGCCAGUACAAUAGGUAGCAAAGCCGCGAGGUGGAGCCAAUCCAUAAAGCUGGUCUCAGUUCAGAUUGUAGGCUGCAACUCGCCUACAUGAAGUCGGAGUUGCUAGUAACCGCGCGUCAGCAUUAGUGCGGUGAAUACGUUCCCGGGCCUUGUACACACCGCCCGUCACGUCAUGGGAGCUGACAACACC